UCCCCAUCGACGGGGCGGUKUGGCACCKCGAUGUCGGCUCAUCGCAUCCUGGGGCUGUAGUCGGUCCCAAGGGUUGGGCUGUUCGCCCAUUAAAGCGGUACGCGAGCUGGGUUCAGAACGUCGUGAGACAGUUCGGUCCCUAUCCGUCGCGGGCGSAGGAAAUUUGAGAGGAGCUGUCCUUAGUACGAGAGGACCGGGAUGGACGCACCGCUGGUGUACCAGUUGUCCCGCCAGGGGCACCGCUGGGUAGCUAUGUGCGGACGGGAUAAGCGCUGAAAGCAUCUAAGCGUGAAGCCCCCCUCAAGAUGAGAUUUCCCACCGCGYRAAGCGGGUAAGAUCCCUCGAAGAUGACGAGGUCGAUAGGUCCGAGGUGGAAGCGUGGCGACACGUGGAGCUGACGGAUACUAAUCGAUCGAGGGCUUAACCUAG
rnacentral:rRNA from 1 species